rnacentral:rRNA from 1 species
GGGACCAUCCUCCAAGGCUAAAUACUCCUGACUGACCGAUAGUGAACCAGUACCGUGAGGGAAAGGCGAAAAGAACCCCUGUGAGGGGAGUGAAAUAGAACCUGAAACCGUGUACGUACAAGCAGUGGGAGCCCUUCGGGGUGACUGCGUACCUUUUGUAUAAUGGGUCAGCGACUUACAUUUUGUAGCGAGGUUAACCGUAUAGGGGAGCCGUAGGGAAACCGAGUCUUAACUGGGCGUCUAGUUGCAAGGUGUAGACCCGAAACCGGGUGAUCUAGCCAUGGGCAGGUUGAAGGUUGAGUAACAUCAACUGGAGGACCGAACCCACUAACGUUGCAAAGUUAGGGGAUGACCUGUGGCUGGGGGUGAAAGGCCAAUCAAACUCGGAGAUAGCUGGUUCUCCCCGAAAGCUAUUUAGGUAGCGCCUCGGACGAAUACUACUGGGGGUAGAGCACUGUUUGGGCUAGGGGGUCAUCCCGACUUACCAACCCCAUGCAAACUCCGAAUACCAGUAAGUAAUAUCCGGGAGACACACGGCGGGUGCUAACGUCCGUCGUGAAGAGGGAAACAACCCAGACCGCCGGCUAAGGUCCCAAAGUUCUGGUUAAGUGGGAAACGAUGUGGGAAGGCUCAGACAGCUAGGAUGUUGGCUUAGAAGCAGCCAUCAUUUAAAGAAAGCGUAAUAGCUCACUAGUCGAGUCGGCCUGCGCGGAAGAUGUAACGGGGCUCAAACCAGGCACCGAAGCCGCGGAUUCACGCUAAGCGUGAGUGGUAGGGGAGCGUUCUGUAAGUCUGCGAAGGUGUAUCGAGAGGUAUGCUGGAGAUAUCAGAAGUGCGAAUGCUGACGUAAGUAACGAUAAAGGGGGUGAAAAGCCUCCUCGCCGGAAGACCAAGGGUUCCUGUCCAACGUUAAUCGGGGCAGGGUGAGUCGACCCCUAAGGUGAGGCCGAAAGGCGUAAUCGAUGGGAAGCAGGUUAAUAUUCCUGCACGACUUGUAAUUGCGAUGGGGGGACGGAGAAGGCUAGGUGGGCCAGGCGACGGUUGUCCUGGUGAAAGUGCGUAGGUGGUGUUUCUAGGCAAAUCCGGAGACACAACACUGAGACACGAGACGAACGCACCACGGUGCGGAAGCCAUUGAUGCCCUGCUUCCAGGAAAAGCCUCUAAGCUUCAGAUUACAAGUCAUCGUACCCCAAACCGACACAGGUGGUCGGGUAGAGAAUACCAAGGCGCUUGAGAGAACUCGGGUGAAGGAACUAGGCAAAAUAGAACCGUAACUUCGGGAGAAGGUUCGCUCUUGAUGGUGAAGUCCCUUGCGGAUGGAGCUGUCGGGAGUCGCAGUGACCAGAUGGCUGGGACUGUUUAUCAAAAACACAGCACUCUGCAAACACGAAAGUGGACGUAUAGGGUGUGACACCUGCCCGGUGCCGGAAGGUUAAUUGAUGGGGUUAGCGCAAGCGAAGCUCUUGAUCGAAGCCCCGGUAAACGGCGGCCGUAACUAUAACGGUCCUAAGGUAGCGAAAUUCCUUGUCGGGUAAGUUCCGACCUG